rnacentral:lncRNA from 1 species
UUGAUUGUUUGAACAUGGUUUCUCGUUCUUUGUUGUUGUUCCGUUCUGUUCUUGUUAUUUCUUCCUUUCUCUUUUCCCCAUCUUCUUCUCCAGUUUCCUAGAGUUUGUAUGAUCUUCCUUUGUCCUCCAGCGUUCUUUUUUUUUUUUUCUAAGAUUUUAAGUAGAUCAUUAAUAAAUGCCUGAAAUGCUGGGAAAAAUUCUUCAUGUUCUUCCAAUUUGUUGAUAAUGCUUUGGAGGUCUUCAGGUCCUAAUACUUGCUUAACCUGCUCAUUCACAUCCUCAUUAAUCAGCCUACACAAUUUUCCAACUGUGCUUACCAGCACACACAAUGAAGAUGAACUAUCUAAUUCUAAGAGUUCUUGGAGGUUUCUCACAGCAUUGUUCAUUUCUCCAAGCCUAGUAUAAACUUCAUUCAUUCGGGGAUAGACUUCAUUUAAAGAAGGCACAUCAAAUAAUUGUUGGAAGUGAGAGACAAUAGCUUGCAAAGUUUGAAAGUUUGGCAUAUUGCUGUCCUUUUCCUUAUUUUCAACUUCUUCCAACCUGGUAUCUACCAUAAACAACAAAUUUUCAAUUCUGACACCUUCAUUUUCAUCCUGUUUCUUAAAAUUAUGCCAAGGCACCAGGUCUGCAGAUAGUAUUUUCAAGGACUUAUACAAAUCCUUUAAGGAUAUCAGUUCAUCUGCUCACAUUUCUAUUAUAGGAACAAGAUGUUCAAACCCACAGUCUUGAACAAAGUCUUUGUUAAAAUGUUGGGUUCCUUCUUUGCUCUGUUUAUGAAUUAUUACUGGAGCUCUUGGAUUGUGAAUAAUUGAAUUGAUGCUAGGUAAUACCUGAAAGAAUCUCUGGUCAACUAGAGCUUGUUGAUGGCUUUCUUUGCUAGAUUCAUCUUUUUUCUCUGUGUCCUCAGUUUUUGUAUGACUGAUAAGCUCCUGUAAUUUAAUGUUUUUCUUGAGGGCUUUCUCCAGUUUCUUCACUUGCUGUUUAUAAAGUCUUAAUCCAUGUUGUGUGGGCCUGCUUUCUAAAUCUUUUUGGAGGUUCAGCUUUUCACUUAAAAGUGCAUCAGUCUUGGAGUUUGAUUCCUUGAGUUGAUUCUGUAAUGACAGUAGAGGGCCUUUAUAAGUUGGUGAGCCAUUCAGAUUUCUAUAAUCUUUUUCUUCUUCUGAUUGACUUUCAUCUUUUUUAUAUUGCCUUUGUGUGUGGAUUUUUCUAAUUUUAGAUUUAUAGUAGUCAAUUAGGCAAGGCAACUGUCUAUCCAAGACGGUAUGAGGAACUCUUUUGCCGAGAUAGGCAAACAUUCUGUUUUGAGUAAUAAUUUGUUCUUCUUCCUCUGUUGUUAAUCGACAGAUAUCCUUUUGCAAAGAAGCAAUAGUCUGUUGCUGCUCCAUUUGGUUUUUCUUGUAAUGCUGGGACUUUGUAAAGUUCUAUUCUCCUUCUGAAGAUCUUUCAUUUUAUUUUGUUGCUGGCAAACCCUAUUUAGAGAUUCAUCUUCCAAUUCACCAAUUUUGCAUUUCACACUCUCCAUAAUUUGUUCCAAGUCAUUAGCUUGUUGUUCCUGAUGUGCUGCUCAGCUUUGUUCUAGCUGAAGCUCAUUUUUUUGGAAAUUCAAUUAUAUUUAUUUUUCUUACACGGAAUCAGAGAAGUAAAAACCAGUACCAAACUCUAGGUAAAAUGGUUUGAUCUGAUAGAUCUGGUUGCAUACUUUCUGUAUGCACAUCAUUUGAAAUUAAAAAUAAAAACACAUAUGUCAUAUUACAAAAUGUAGAAGUAAAUUCUUUAAAAAGUUAAAAGUACUAGCACAGAAAUGAUGUAGUGUUAGGGAAACGGUCUCUGUCAAUCACCCAUUUUCCUGCUCAAAUGGAACUUCAAGUUCCUUUUUUUAAAACAGCUUUUUUUUUUUUAAUACAAGAUGUACUUUCCUAAGUUCCUUUCUAGUUGUGUGAUGAGAAUGGACCAGUCAUGAGCACACGCUCCCAGUCCUGCCCACCUACGUCCCACACCUCUCUUCUCCCGGGGCCAGCAGUGCCUCGGCACACUGAGGUGUCUACAGUCUUCACCCUUACCACGUACUGUGUCACCGGCCAAACAAAUGGCAUUCCACAUCCUAAAUACUACAGUGAAACACAGGCUGUUACUUAGAUGUAACAGAAUUACUAAAAGGUUCGGACCUUUCUUUCGCUAAAAGAAAAUGUAUUUCAUCAGAAAAAAACAUCUUGAAUAAAAGAUCUCUGAAAUUCCUUUUCAACUUCACUUUUUAAAAUAUGCCUUUCGCAUAGUGAAAUUUUGGGGUGAGACGGUAAAACUGAUUGAUUGAUUUAGGGCUACAAAGACUAGGUAUCCUGCAGUUGUCUUAUAAUAAGAUAUAUAGUAUAAAUAGCACCUUAUCAUGAAUUCUGAGGGGUUAAACAGUCAUUUAAAAGUUGCUCUUGAGGGCUGGGGGUGUAGCUCCGUGGAAGAAUGCUUGCCUAGCAUGUGCCCUAGGUUGUUCAACCGCUAGCACUGAGAAAAACAAAAUAAAAAAAGCUCUUACUAGGCCGGGGAUUUAGCUCAGUGGUUUCACCGCCUGCUGCGCAAGCGCAACCUGAUUUCUUGAUGAUGGCCAUUCUUUCUGGAGUAUGGUGGAAUCUCAGUGUUGUUUUAAUUUGCAUUUCUGUAAAGGCCAGGUGUGAUAAACAUUUUUUUCAUGACAAUUUCUGUUUAUUUUUUUGAGAAGUGUCUGUUAAUUUCAGUUUCCCAUUUUUUGAUGGGAUCUUUUAUUUUCAGAGGUCUGAUAUUUUUGAGUUCUCUAAAUAGUCUAGAUAUUCUUUUCUAAUGCCAUGUGAAGCUCAUUUUUAAGCUGCUGAUUAGUUUCUAUGAGCUCUUGUAUCAUGUUCUGUUGACGUUCUGUUUCUUCCACCAACAUUUUCAAAUUCUGCCUCGUCCUUUGUGAUGACUUUAUCAAAAAUGAUAAGAUCUUUAAAAUCUGUCCUUUUGACCAGGCACAAAGGUUUUAAGCCAUGCCUCAUUAACAGCACAUUUGUGAUUUCCCAUUCUGCUUCCUCCUGCUGUUUUUCGAUCACGAGUCUGUUGGAAAACUGACUGGAUUCCUGGGCUUCAGGGACUGCUGGAGGCACUGUUUCUCUUGCAGAAUCAAAAGAGGUAGAGGUUGGCAAUAAAAUAAUUUGAGUUGCCUCUGUCACUGUACAUUCCUCUUGCACUUUACACCUGGUCAUUCAAGUUACCUCAAUGAAAUGAUCACACAAUGAGUCUCAUCUUCAAAACUGGAUCUUCAUCUUCCUGAGCCGCGUCUCCCGUCUCCCACCGGCAGCCAGCCCAGCCCCGCUCUGCUCAGCAGCUGGAUCCUCGCCUCCGCGCCAGCCAAUGGAACCCUCGCGCGUCGACGGCGCGUCAACACCCCCC